rnacentral:rRNA from 1 species
ACAAUGGAGAGUUUGAUCCUGGCUCAGGACGAACGCUGGCGGCGUGCUUAACACAUGCAAGUCAAGGAGAACCUCCGCUUCGGCGGAGUAGUAAACUGGCGAACGGGUGAGUAACACGUGGGUAACCUGCCCUGGAGACUGGGAUAACCCCGAGAAAUCGGAGCUAAUACC